UACGGAGGAUCCAAGCGUUAUCCGGAUUUAUUGGGUUUAAAGGGUGCGUAGGCGGGAGAUUAAGUCGGUGGUGAAAUUUUGCAGCUCAACUGUAAAAGUGCCAUUGAUACUGGUUUCCUUGAGUGUGGAUGAAGUAGGCGGAAUUUGUGGUGUAGCGGUGAAAUGCUUAGAUAUGACGAGGAACUCCUAUUGCGAAGGCAGCUUGCUGGGUCGUUACUGACGCUGAUGCUCGAAGGUGCGGGGAUCAAACAGGAUUAGAUACCCU
rnacentral:rRNA from 1 species